AUGGAGCUGAGGUCCCCUCCUGUGAACAUGGAGCUGAGGUCUCCUCCUGGGGCAGCAGUAACCUCCAGCACUGGUCCUGGAGAGAAGGUGAGGAACUGGCUAGUGAUCUGGAAGCAAGAGGCUUACCAUGGCUCAGAACAGGGACUGGGCAAGAGAAGAGGACACAGCAGAACUGCAGGCACUGACCUUGAGAGGCAGGAAGACACCACAGCAACCCUGCUGGAGCAGAGGCCCAGGUGGGCUCUGGUACUCCGUGGGCAAUCUAAGACCCUCAGCUGUAGUCUGAGGAAUUCCCAGUACCCGUGGAUGAGCUGGUACCAACAGGAUCUUCAGCAGCAACUACAACUGCUGGCUUCUGUGCGGAGUCCUGGGGACAAAGAGACCAUCUCCCUCUCUGGAGCGAAUUACCUGGCCACAAGAGUCAGUGAAAAUGAGCUGACGCUACAGGUGAACAAUGUGACCCAAGGCAGAACCCUGUACUGCACCUGCAGUAAAGACACAGUGUUUUUCUUCAGUCUGAAUUGCACAGUGAUUUAA